ensembl:lncRNA
GUAAAAAACCUAUGACAAGUAUAUCAAAUUCCAGAGCAUGCACUUUUUACAUAGCUCUAAAUAGCUGACUUCCUGUUGGGCGGAGCCUAUGACAUGCAAUACGAAAGUUGUUCAGCAUAAUGAGAUCUAUAUGUGUACUGAGUUUCAUAUGAAUACGUGCAAGUAUGUAUGAUAUAUGGCCCUCCAUAUUCCAGGGGGCGCUGUAGAGCCCCUGUGCCACGCCCGUGUAUCAGUCUCUGCCCGGCCCUAAUGGCCGCAGGUUCCAAUGUGUGUGCCAAUUUUCAAGAGUUUUCGAGUAUGUUAAGGGCCCCAAAAGCCCCCGAGACGUUGGAAAAUAAUAAUAAUAAUAAUAAUAAUAAUAAUAAAUAUAGCUGCAAGCAGCGAUGGCGGGCUCAAGCCAUCAGCGCAAACGCCACCCCGGUGGCAUCAGGUAAACUGUGCCCAGCGGGCACAUGCAUUUACAG